AUUUCGUGAUGAGGGCACUUCCGUAACAAUUCUUUGUACCUUUCCCAUGCCUCAUACAAUGACUCAUCAUCCAAUUGUUGGAAAGUAGUGAUCUCGUUCCUCAACUU
rfam:Gossypium raimondii Chr03_contig_592, whole genome shotgun sequence.